rnacentral:rRNA from 1 species
AGUUGCCCUUCGGUUCAUUCCCUUCUAUUUGCAGAUGACCUUUUGGUUUGUGGUCAGGCCACCCUUCAUGAAGCUCAGACUAUGGCGAAUCUUAUUCAGCAAUUUUGUGAUCUCUCUGGCCAAACUCCCAACUGGAGCAAAUCUGCAAUCUUGUUUAGCUCGCAUGUAUCUCAGGCUACUAUUCAAGACAUUAAGCAUAUUUUCCCUGUUUCUAAUCUUGAUGCUAAUUUCACUCAUCUUGGUCAUCCUCUCAUUCUCCCUGCUAAUAAUAGAUUGGCUGCUUACAAUUUUGUUCUUGACAAGUUUUUAAAUAAGCUG